rnacentral:lncRNA from 7 species
GGACAAACGCGAGCAAGCGCCCAGGUGCCCCAAACUUGAAUCUAACUGGUGCUAUGCGAGAAGAAGGGAAGCAUAAACGACCCAAAUGAGUUCUCACCGAUGAUUAUGACGCUGUGGAGGCUGGCCACGGCGGGGAGCAGUUUUGUGGCGGAGCUUCAACUCCGGCGAGAAAUUCACUGGUUUCUGGCUGUUCUUCAGGCCUCAAUCUUCCCUGGUUGCGAUCCUUGUAUCGAGGCGAAUCACCCCGACACACGGCGGACACCGAGCAGCAACGGAGGCAAGGCAAGGGCGCGGCGGAUUCUCGGCGGUGACUAGAACCUCACAGCCGAAGAGCAUGCGAUGCAUAUGAGGGAGGAGAUGGGGGUGAGGGACGUCGGGCGCAGGGUUUAAUAACCCGGAAAGGUUGGUUGCGCCGGGUGCCCGGGUCCGCAAGAGUCGCACGGUGCGGCGAGCUCAGUCGCGAUUAUCGCAGUCCGGUUGAGGAGCGUCUUGAUUGGAUGACUGCGUGUCUG